CCCAUACGCCGUUACAACCAACGCCACGUAUGGGGCCUGUCUCAAUGCUGGAUAACCUACGCCACGCGAGACCUGAACAUCAUAUCACAUAUCUCCCCAUACGCCGGUACAAUCAACGCCACGUAUGGGGUCUGUCGACACGCCAGAUAACCUAUGCCACGCGCAACCUCAACAUCAUAUCAUAAUAUCUCUCCAUACGCCGGUACAACCAACGCCACGUAUGGGGUCUGUCUCAACGCCAAAUAACCUACGCCAUGCGAGACAUGCACAUCAUAU
rnacentral:lncRNA from 1 species